AAAUCCAUAGAGACAGAAGGCAUAUUGGUGGCCAGGGAGAGGAUGAAAUGGGGAGUUACUGCUUACAAAGUAUGAGUCUGGGGGAGAGGAGGUGUAGGAAUGACUGCCUGGUGAGUAUAUGGUUUCCUUUUGGGGUGAUAAGAAUGUUCUGGAACCUAGAAUAGUGGUGAUGGUUAUAAACAUUAUGAAUGUAUUAAAUGCCAGUGAUUAAAAACUUUUAAAUGGUUAAUUUAUGUUACAUGAAUUUCACCUCAUUUCAAAAAAAAACAAGCUGAAACAUUGAAAUGAGAGUUUUUCUUGACUGUUAGAGUGGAGGCAGCAAUUAGGAGAGGAUGGCUGCUGUCCAAAGUUCUGCUAGUUCUUCCUGAGUAGAGCUGAGGUUUAUUUCUCAGCAUCUUAUGACACUCUGACUAAAAGGACAACUGUGAGGGUGGUGAUGGCAGUAAGAAGUAUUCAGUAUACAGUAGGAUAUGCGCUAGAGGAGUCACGUCUCUUUACCUGAGAGCAUCCUUGCAUCCUUUCCAGUUGAUUAAUCACCAUUUCCCUUUGACAUGUGUUUCCCUCUCUCACCUUUCACGUCUGUCUGGUCCCCUUUCACGUCUAUCUGGUCCCCUUUCAUCUCAGCUACCAGAAAUCUCGGAGCCAAAUUCUGCCAAACUGACCUCAUUUGCUUUAUGAUUAGGGCUGGAGCCACUCUGCCAGCCCUAAACCCACUUCGGAAUUUCAGUGAAGCAUUUGACAAAGUCUCAAUGAUGUACCUGAAAUAUACCUCAGGGCCCUCUCCUCAGACUUCUCAUCUUGGUGGAUCCCUUUUAAUCACAUUUUUGAUGCCUAGACAUUAGGAAGGCUAGCCAAUACAUUGGACAGACUCAGAAUCUGAAAAAGAUAGAAAUGGUUGAUUACUAUGGACCAAAUAGAACAGGAUGAAUUUUAUCAGAUAUAAGCAUUAAGUCUUAAAGUUGAGGUUAAAAAGCACAAACUGAGUAAGUGUAACAUGGAACACAUGGUGAACCAUGAAGUGUGAUUAUCCCUGACCUCUCAGCGUGGGUUGUCACAGGCGUUAGCCAUGUAUCACGCCAUAUCUGAAGCAUCAUCCGCCAUUGCAUUUUACAAGAAACAAACUUAAAUCCAGAGACCAUGUCAGGAUGAGGAGAAAGACACUUUAGCCUGUGCCAUGAGAUACAAAUGAAGAAAGUAGGAGUGGUGGUCUUGAAAAUCAUGGCACCCUUCAGACAAUGAAAACUAUCUAAAAGAAAAGGAAGAGGAAAAAAAUCAGACUUACCUUAUGUGGUCAUGAAAACAUUCAAGCAAAGACUAGGUGACCACUUGUCAAACAUGUUCUUGAAUCAUGUCAUGACAAUGUCUUUUAGCCCCAAAACUAAUGGAUGUCCAUAAUUAUGUAAAAAGUUAAAAAAAAGCAGGCAAGGAAAGGGUGGAGAAAAAGAAAAUACAGGCUGAAACCAAGGGUUGACUGCAUUCAGAAAGUACUUGCUUUGGGGUGCUUCUAAGUGCAGGGCAUUGCUGAGAGUGCUGUGAUGGAAUGUUCAGAUUUGGGUCAUUAUCAGCAGGCAGAUGACUUAUUUUCUUGACCUUGUUUUAUAGUCUAGUCUCCUGAGACAAGAUCUAGGACUUGGGAGCCCAGCACAACUCUCUUCUUCAGGAAAACCUGGAACACCAUACUACUCAUUCUCUGCCACAAGUUCCAGGAGAAGACCACUCCAUGACUCUGUAGCACUGGAUCCUUUGCAAGCAAAGAAAGUCAGAAAGGUACCUCCUGGUCUGCCUUCUUCUG